UAGCCGUAAACGAUACUCGCUAGGUGUCGGCCACGGUGCGACCGUUGUCGGUGCCGUAGGGAAGCCGUGAAGCGAGCCACCUGGGAAGUAUGGCCGCAAGGCUGAAACUUAAAGGAAUUGGCGGGGGAGCACAACAACGGGUGGAGCUUGCGGUUUAAUUGGAUUCAACGCCGGAAAUCUUACCGGGACCGACAGCAACAUGAAGGCCAAGCUGAAGACUUUGCCGGAUUAGCUGAGAGGAGGUGCAUGGCGUAGUCGUGU
rnacentral:rRNA from 1 species